GUAGGGUGCAAGCGUUAAUCGGAAUUACUGGGCGUAAAGCGUGCGCAGGCGGUUCGCUAAGACAGAUGUGAAAUCCCCGGGCUUAACCUGGGAACUGCAUUUGUGACUGGCGGGCUAGAGUAUGGCAGAGGGGGGUAGAAUUCCACGUGUAGCAGUGAAAUGCGUAGAGAUGUGGAGGAAUACCGAUGGCGAAGGCAGCCCCCUGGGCCAAUACUGACGCUCAUGCACGAAAGCGUGGGGAGCAAACAGGAUUAGAUACCCUGGUAGUCCACGCCCUAAACGAUGUCGACUAGUUGUUGGGGAUUCAUUUCCUUAGUAACGUAGCUAACGCGUGAAGUUGACCGCCUGGGGAGUACGGUCGCAAGAUUA
rnacentral:rRNA from 1 species